GACGAACGCUGGCGGCGUGCUUAACACAUGCAAGUCGAACGGAAAGGCCCUGCUUGUGUGGGGUGCUCGAGUGGCGAACGGGUGAGUAACACGUGAGUAACCUGCCCUUGACUUUGGGAUAACUUCAGGAAACUGGGGCUAAUACCGGAUAGGAGCUCCUGCUGGAUGGUGGGGGUUGGAAAGUUUCGGCGGUUGGGGAUGGACUCGCGGCUUAUCAGCUUGUUGGUGGGGUAGUGGCUUACCAAGGCUUUGACGGGUAGCCGGCCUGAGAGGGUGACCGGCCACAUUGGGACUGAGAUACGGCCCAGACUCCUACGGGAGGCAGCAGUGGGGAAUAUUGCACAAUGGGCGGAAGCCUGAUGCAGCAACGCCGCGUGCGGGAUGACGGCCUUCGGGUUGUAAACCGCUUUCGCCUGUGACGAAGCGUGAGUGACGGUAAUGGGUAAAGAAGCACCGGCUAACUACGUG
rnacentral:rRNA from 1 species